rnacentral:rRNA from 1 species
GUAGGGGGUGUGAGAGCAUGGCCCCCCACAAUGGGACUGGAACACGGCCCAUACUCCUACGGGAGGCAGCAGCAGGGAAUAUUGCACAAUGGACGGAAGUCUGAUGCAGCGACGCCGCGUGGAUGAAGAAGGCCCUCGGGUUGUAAAAUCCUUUACAGGGGGAAGAGGAAGGACGGUACCCCUGGAACAAGUGUCGGCUAACUACGUGCCAGCAGCCGCGGUAAGACGUAGGACACAAGCGUUAUCCGGAUUUACUGGGCGUAAAGCGUCUGCAGGCGGACAGGUAAGUUGGGCGUGAAAGCUCCGGGCCCAACCCGGAGAGGUCGUUCAAAUACUGCGUGUCUAGAGGGUGUCAGAGGGGAGUGGAAUUUCCGGAGUAGCGGUAAAAUGCGCAGAGAUCGGAAAGAACACCAAUGGCGAAGGCAGCUCCCUGGGGCAACCCUGACGCUAAGAGACGAAAGCUAGGGGAGCGAACAGGAUUAGAGACCCUGGUAGUCCUAGCCCUAAACGAUGGAUGCUGGAUGUGGGGCCAUAGCGCUCCGUGUCGAAGCGAACGCGUUAAGCAUCCCGCCUGGGGACUACGGCCGCAAGGUUAAAACUCAAACGAAUUGACGGGACCCCGCACAAGCAGCGGAGCGUGUGGUUUAAUUCGAUGCUACACGAAGAACCUUACCUGGGUUUGACAUCUAGGUGGUAGUGAAGCGAGAGCGGAGCGACCCUUCGGGGAGCCUAGACAGGUGCUGCAUGGCUGUCGUCAGCUCGUGCCGUGAGGUGUCGGGUUAAGUCCCGUAACGAGCGCAACCCUUGCCCUCCGUUAUACGUGUCAGAGGGGACUGCCGGCGGUAAGCCGGAGGAAGGUGGGGAUGACGUCAAGUCAGCAUGGCCUUUAUAUCCAGGGCUACACACACGCUACAAUGGCCAGUACAAAGGGCAGCGAAGCCGCGAGGUGGAGCGAAUCCCAGCAAAGCUGGUCGUAGUUCGGAUUGCAGGCUGCAACCCGCCUGCAUGAAGCUGGAGUUGCUAGUAACCGCGCGUCAGCCAUAGUGCGGUGAAUACGUUCCCGGGGUUUGUACACACCGCCCGUCACGUCAUGGGAGUCGAUAACGCCUGAAGCCGGUGGCAUAGCUCGGAAGAGAGGGCG